CCUCGAACGGGCGCGAUAGGGGAAGUGUCGGCGAGAUAAGGCCCGUCGUUGGGGGAACGCCUCGCGAAGGAAACGAAGCGCUGUUCGGCACGAAGCCGGGAGUCUAAAUUCCAGCCAAUAACCAAGCACAACUUGUCGGAGAAGUGUAGCUAGGCAGGAGUAUUGAAACCACCGUGUCCGCCAUUCCUAAAGCCUAUAGGCGUCGCACAGCCACCUCCGCUUAAGCACAUCAGGUGCAACAACAACGCCGUUAUGGUUUUGACGAACGAUCUUCGUUGCGCGGACAAGAAGUGCAACCAACCGCUGCCGAAUAAAAAUAGCACAUUCUUGCGUUGCUCAAUGUGCUGCAAGCUUACGUGUCGGGACUGCAAUGCGCAGCACGAGGGCAAGAACUGCAAGGAUUACAGAGCCACCUUAGCAGAACAGGAUCAAGCAGGAUGCCCCUGAAGCGAGCACUUGGGAAGAAAUUGCUGGAUCGAGUAGUGCCGAUCACGUCUCUGACGACACGGUUGUCCCGGAGGAGUUCAUACCUGGACAGCACUACGUCUGCGGUGUGGAUGGCUGCUGCUUCGCGGUCGUCCUCCACGAAGGAUCCAAGAAAUUUUGGUGUGCCUUGUGUCACAGCAGACACAAAAUCGUGGACAACAAGAUUAUAAGGGCCAAGGGA